CGUGAGAACGUUUCACUAAUCCGCAUUCCCGUUUUCGUUCGAACCAAUUCUAACCAUUCGAUUUUUCGAACUUCACGCUUUCGAAUGUUUGUCGUAUUCCCGUUUUCGUUCGAAUGCGUAUUUUGAUACCUUUUCAGUUCGUCACUCUGACCUUGCGAAUUGAAGUGAGUUUAUUGCAAACCAAGUUUGCAAAGUCGGUGUUCCUGGCGAUACAUCGGCUCCAGCAUGGAUAAUCUCAAGUGGCCCAGUGCUCCAGUGCUACGUUUCAAUGGGCCAAUGGAUCUGUCUCUUCUGGGAUCCUGGGAUGAUGGAUGAUGCCUGGGAUGACCAGUCCAGCGCUUGCUUGCAGAUUUCGUCUUCGCUCCACCUUCAUUUACCCUCUCGUAUUUCAGAAUUUCCCUUGAAAUUUAAAAAUAAAUUCCCGAAGUUAUUCAGA